rnacentral:rRNA from 1 species
UACGUAGGGGGCAAGCGUUGUCCGGAAUCAUUGGGCGUAAAGCGCGUGUAGGCGGUUCGGUAAGUCUGCUGUAAAAGUCCAGGGCUCAACCCUGGGAUGCCGGUGGAUACUGUCGGACUAGAGUACGGAAGAGGCGAGUGGAAUUCCCGGUGUAGCGGUGAAAUGCGCAGAUAUCGGGAGGAACACCAAUUGCGAAGGCAGCUCGCUGGGACGUUACUGACGCUGAGACGCGAAAGCGUGGGGAGCAAACAGG